GACGUAGGGCGCGAGCGUUGUCCGGAUUUAUUGGGCGUAAAGAGCUCGUAGGCGGCUUGUCGCGUCGACUGUGAAAAUCCCGCGGCUCAACUGCGGGUCUGCAGUCGAUACGGGCAGGCUAGAGUUCGGUAGGGAGACUGGAAUCCCUGGUGUAGCGGUGAAAUGCGCAGAUAUCAGGAAGAACACCCGUGGCUAAGGCGGCUCUCUAGUACGGUACUGACGCUGAAGGGAGCGAAAAGCGUGGGGGAGCGAACAGG
rnacentral:rRNA from 1 species